rnacentral:rRNA from 1 species
AGACCCGAAACCCGGUGAUCUAGCCAUGGGCAGGUUGAAGGUUGGGUAACACUAACUGGAGGACCGAACCGACUAAUGUUGAAAAAUUAGCGGAUGACCUGUGGCUGGGGGUGAAAGGCCAAUCAAACCGGGAGAUAGCUGGUUCUCCCCGAAAGCUAUUUAGGUAGCGCCUCGUGAAUUCAUCUCCGGGGGUAGAGCACUGUUUCGGCUAGGGGGCCAUCCCGGCUUACCAACCCGAUGCAAACUGCGAAUACCGGAGAAUGUUAUCACGGGAGACACACGGCGGGUGCUAACGUCCGUCGUGAAGAGGGAAACAACCCAGACCGCCAGCUAAGGUCCCAAAGUCAUGGUUAAGUGGGAAACGAUGUGGGAAGGCCCAGACAGCCAGGAUGUUGGCUUAGAAGCAGCCAUCAUUUAAAGAAAGCGUAAUAGCUCACUGGUCGAGUCGGCCUGCGCGGAAGAUGUAACGGGGCUAAACCAUGCACCGAAGCUGCGGCAGCGACACUGUGUGUUGUUGGGUAGGGGAGCGUUCUGUAAGCCUGUGAAGGUGUGUCGUGAGGCAUGCUGGAGGUAUCAGAAGUGCGAAUGCUGACAUAAGUAACGAUAAAGCGGGUGAAAAGCCCGCUCGCCGGAAGACCAAGGGUUCCUGUCCAACGUUAAUCGGGGCAGGGUGAGUCGACCCCUAAGGCGAGGCCGAAAGGCGUAGUCGAUGGGAAACGGGUUAAUAUUCCCGUACUUGGUGUUACUGCGAAGGGGGGACGGAGAAGGCUAUGUUGGCCGGGCGACGGUUGUCCCGGUUUAAGCGUGUAGGUGUGUGUUCCAGGUAAAUCCGGUUCACUUUAACACUGAGGCGUGACGACGAGGCACUACGGUGCUGAAGCAACAAAUGCCCUGCUUCCAGGAAAAGCCUCUAAGCAUCAGGUAACAUCAAAUCGUACCCCAAACCGACACAGGUGGUCAGGUAGAGAAUACCAAGGCGCUUGAGAGAACUCGGGUGAAGGAACUAGGCAAAAUGGUGCCGUAACUUCGGGAGAAGGCACGCUGACACGUAGGUGAAGUGAUUUACUCAUGGAGCUGAAGUCAGUCGAAGAUACCAGCUGGCUGCAACUGUUUAUUAAAAACACAGCACUGUGCAAACACGAAAGUGGACGUAUACGGUGUGACGCCUGCCCGGUGCCGGAAGGUUAAUUGAUGGGGUCAGCGCAAGCGAAGCUCCUGAUCGAAGCCCCGGUAAACGGCGGCCGUAACUAUAACGGUCCUAAGGUAGCGAAAUUCCUUGUCGGGUAAGUUCCGACCUGCACGAAUGGCGUAAUGAUGGCCAGGCUGUCUCCACCCGAGACUCAGUGAAAUUGAACUCGCUGUGAAGAUGCAGUGUACCCGCGGCAAGACGGAAAGACCCCGUGAACCUUUACUAUAGCUUGACACUGAACAUUGAGCCUUGAUGUGUAGGAUAGGUGGGAGGCUUUGAAGCGUGGACGCCAGUCUGCGUGGAGCCGACCUUGAAAUACCACCCUUUAAUGUUUGAUGUUCUAACGUGGACCCGUGAUCCGGGUUGCGGACAGUGUCUGGUGGGUAGUUUGACUGGGGCGGUCUCCUCCUAAAGAGUAACGGAGGAGCACGAAGGUUGGCUAAUCCUGGUCGGACAUCAGGAGGUUAGUGCAAUGGCAUAAGCCAGCUUGACUGCGAGCGUGACGGCGCGAGCAGGUGCGAAAGCAGGUCAUAGUGAUCCGGUGGUUCUGAAUGGAAGGGCCAUCGCUCAACGGAUAAAAGGUACUCCGGGGAUAACAGGCUGAUACCGCCCAAGAGUUCAUAUCGACGGCGGUGUUUGGCACCUCGAUGUCGGCUCAUCACAUCCUGGGGCUGAAGUAGGUCCCAAGGGUAUGGCUGUUCGCCAUUUAAAGUGGUACGCGAGCUGGGUUUAGAACGUCGUGAGACAGUUCGGUCCCUAUCUGCCGUGGGCGCUGGAGAACUGAGGGGGGCUGCUCCUAGUACGAGAGGACCGGAGUGGACGCAUCACUGGUGUUCGGGUUGUCAUGCCAAUGGCACUGCCCGGUAGCUAAAUGCGGAAGAGAUAAGUGCUGAAAGCAUCUAAGCACGAAACUUGCCCCGAGAUGAGUUCUCCCUGAGACUUUAGGUCUCCUGAAGGAACGUUGAAGACGACGACGUUGAUAGGCCGGGUGUGUAAGCGCAGCGAUGCGUUGAGCUAACCGGUACUAAUGAACCGUGAGGCUUAACCUUACAACGCCGAAG